rnacentral:rRNA from 1 species
UGAGGAAUAUUGGUCAAUGGGCGAGAGCCUGAACCAGCCAAGCCGCGUGAAGGAAGACGGCCCUAGGGUUGUAAAGCACUUUUGUUAGGGAGAACGGGUAUUAUGGUUAAUAACCAUAGUAUCUGAUGUUACCUAAAGAAUAAGCACCGGCUAACUCCGUGCCAGCAGCCGCGGUAAUACGGAGGGUGCAAGCGUUAAUCGGAAUUACUGGGCGUAAAGGGCGCGUAGGUGGUAUCUUAAGUUGGGUGUGAAAGCCCGGCUGCUAACCUGGGAAUUGCAUCCAAAACUGGGUACUAGAGUGUGGUAGAGGGUAGCGGAAUUUCUGGUGUAGCGGUGAAAUGCGUAGAUAUCAGAAGGAACAUCAAUGGCGAAGGCAGCUACCUGGGCCAACACUGACGCUGAGGCGCGAAAGCAUGGGGGAGCAAACAGGAUUAGAUACC